rnacentral:lncRNA from 1 species
ACAACAGCUGUGGGUCCCAGAACGGCUGACCAGAGCAAUUCAAAACAAGCAGAGCUAUGAGGGCGUGGAUGUUCCUGUGGCUGGGAAUGCUCCCGCUAGUGAGAACUGAAGAGCUCUGUGUUCCUGAAACCAUGCCGUUGAUGCAUUUAAGUGUUUCCUCAAUUCUUUACAUCUAAUGCUUCGCUACAAUUGCCUUUUUUCUAUGCUGCUUCAGCUAAAGAGAUUGUUGUAUUUUCAGAUGAUUCAAAAUAUUUCACAGAUGAGUGAUUGUGUUCAGCUGUAUCUACUAAAGCUAAUGCUACCUGGAUUCGAGGGGUGUGACCUGCCAGUAUAUCCAAGGGCAAUGGCACUAUACCCUCCCAACCUAGAUGGGCCCCCCCCUUUCCUUUUUGUAGGAGUGUUCCUGAUUCCAUUCCACCUUGGGCAGUGCCCCCUUAUAUGUAUGGUUGUUAUGUGGGGUGAAUGGUA